GACAGAGGAGCCAAGCGUUGUCCGGACUGACUGGGCGUAAAGCGCCCCGCAGGCGGCCGUGCACGUGGGGGUGUGAAAAGCUCGCGGCUUAACUGCGAGAGGCCAUCCCAUACGGCGCGGCUCGAGCCGUCCAGAGGCCGGUGGAAUUGCCGGUGUAGUGGUGAAAUGCGCAGAUAUCAGGAGGAACACCGGUGGCGAAGGCGGCCAACUGGUCCGGAUCUGACGCUGAGGCGCGAAAGCGUGGGGAGCAAACAGG
rnacentral:rRNA from 1 species